rnacentral:rRNA from 1 species
UACGUAGGGGGCAAGCGUUGUCCGGAAUCAUUGGGCGUAAAGAGCGCGUAGGCGGCCCUGUAAGUCGGAUGUGAAAUCUCCAGGCUCAACCUGGAGGGGUCAUUCGAUACUGCCGUGACUAGAGGUCGGUAGGGGAGUGUGGAAUUCCUGGUGGAGCGGUGAAAUGCGCAGAUAUCAGGAAGAACACCCGUGGCGAAAGCGGCUCUCUGGGACGGUACUGACGCUGAGACGCGAAAGCGUGGGGAGCGAACAGG